CGCCAUCCAGCUCCGGACUAUCUCUUGGAGAUGUCCAUCCCAACGCACUCCUAGAGCUACAUACCCAACUGCUAUUGAGGAUGACAGUUCCAAAGAGACUGACAGAAUUCCAACACCUAAAGUGAUAAUUGAUCAAGACUCAAACCCAGAUGCAACCAUUGUCGAGGUAGCCU